AUUGAACGCUGGCGGCAUGCCUUACACAUGCAAGUCGAACGGCAGCGGACCUUCGGGUGCCGGCGAGUGGCGAACGGGUGAGUAAUGCAUCGGAACGUACCUUUCAGUGGGGGAUAACGUAGCGAAAGUUACGCUAAUACCGCAUAUUCUGUGAGCAGGAAAGCAGGGGAUCGCAAGACCUUGCGCUGAUUGAGCGGCCGAUGUGAGAUUAGCUAGUUGGUGAGGUAAAGGCUCACCAAGGCGACGAUCUGUAGCGGGUCUGAGAGGAUGAUCAGCCACACUGGAACUGAGACACGGUCCAGACUCCUACGGGAGGCAGCAGUGGGGAAUUUUGGACAAUGGGGGCAACCCUGAUCCAGCCAUGCCGCGUGAGUGAAGAAGGCCUUCGGGUUGUGAAGCUCUUUCGGCCGGGAAGAAAUCGCACGGGCUAAUACCCUGUGUGGAUGACGGUACCGGAAUAAGAAGCACCGGCUAACUACGUGCCAGCCGCCGCCGUAAAAC
rnacentral:rRNA from 1 species